UAAAAAGUUAGUUAAAAAAUAAUAUCAGGUUGUCAGCUUGAUGUCACUAAUUCAAUUUAGUACUUUUUAU
rnacentral:tRNA from 1 species